rnacentral:rRNA from 1 species
CAUCUGAUUCGCGGCCUAUCAGCUUGUUGGUGAGGUAACGGCUCACCAAGGCGUCGACGGGUAGCUGGUCUGAGAGGACGAUCAGCCACACUGGGACUGAGACACGGCCCAGACUCCUACGGGAGGCAGCAGUGGGGAAUCUUGCGCAAUGGGCGAAAGCCUGACGCAGCAACGCCGCGUGGGGGAUGACGGCUUUCGGGUUGUAAACCCCUUUCAGCAGGGACGAUAAUGACGGUACCCGCAGAAGAAGCCCCGGCCAACUACGUGCCAGCAGCCGCGGUAAUACGUAGGGGGCAAGCGUUGUCCGGAUUUAUUGGGCGUAAAGGGCUCGUAGGCGGCUUGGCAAGUCGGAUGUGAAAAUUCCAGGCUCAACCUGGAAACGCCAUUCGAUACUGCUAUAGCUUGAGACCGGCAGGGGAACACGGAAUUCCUGGUGUAGCGGUGAAAUGCGCAGAUAUCAGGAGGAACACCAGUGGCGAAGGCGGUGUUCUGGGCCGGCACUGACGCUGAGGAGCGAAAGCGUGGGGAGCGAACAGGAUUAGAUACCCUGGUAGUCCACGCCGUAAACGUUGGGCACUAGGUGUGGGACCCUAUCGACGGGUUCCGUGCCGUAGCUAACGCAUUAAGCGCCCCGCCUGGGGAGUACGA